GGGUUGUGAGGUUAAGCGACUAAGCGUACACGGUGGAUGCCCUGGCAGUCAGAGGCGAUGAAGGGCGUGCUAAUCUGCGAUAAGCGCCGGUAAGGUGAUAUGAACCGUUAUAACCGGCGAUACCCGAAUGGGGAAACCCAGUGUGACUCGUCACACUAUCAUUAACUGAAUCCAUAGGUUAAUGAGGCGAACCGGGGGAACUGAAACAUCUAAGUACCCCGAGGAAAAGAAAUCAACCGAGAUUCCCCCAGUAGCGGCGAGCGAACGGGGAGGAGCCCAGAGCCUGAAUCAGCAUGUGUGUUAGUGGAAGCGUCUGGAAAGGCGCGCGAUACAGGGUGACAGCCCCGUACACAAAAGCGCAUGUGCUGUGAGCUCGAUGAGUAGGGCGGGACACGUGGUAUCCUGUCUGAAUAUGGGGGGACCAUCCUCCAAGGCUAAAUACUCCUGACUGACCGAUAGUGAACCAGUACCGUGAGGGAAAGGCGAAAAGAACCCCGGCGAGGGGAGUGAAAAAGAACCUGAAACCGUGUACGUACAAGCAGUGGGAGCACAGGUUUACCUGUGUGACUGCGUACCUUUUGUAUAAUGGGUCAGCGACUUAUAUUCUGUAGCAAGGUUAACCGUAUAGGGGAGCCGGAGGGAAACCGAGUCUUAACCGGGCGUUAAGUUGCAGGGUAUAGACCCGAAACCCGGUGAUCUAGCCAUGGGCAGGUUGAAGGUUGGGUAACACUAACUGGAGGACCGAACCGACUAAUGUUGAAAAAUUAGCGGAUGACCUGUGGCUGGGGGUGAAAGGCCAAUCAAACCGGGAGAUAGCUGGUUCUCCCCGAAAGCUAUUUAGGUAGCGCCUCGUGAAUUCAUCUCCGGGGGUAGAGCACUGUUUCGGCUAGGGGGCCAUCCCGGCUUACCAACCCGAUGCAAACUGCGAAUACCGGAGAAUGUUAUCACGGGAGACACACGGCGGGUGCUAACGUCCGUCGUGAAGAGGGAAACAACCCAGACCGCCAGCUAAGGUCCCAAAGUCAUGGUUAAGUGGGAAACGAUGUGGGAAGGCCCAGACAGCCAGGAUGUUGGCUUAGAAGCAGCCAUCAUUUAAAGAAAGCGUAAUAGCUCACUGGUCGAGUCGGCCUGCGCGGAAGAUGUAACGGGGCUAAACCAUGCACCGAAGCUGCGGCAGCGAACGUAUCACUUAAAGCGAUUCAGCGGAUGACGAUUGACGGAGCGAAGCGACGUCAAAGCGUAUACAAAGUCGAGUCGGUUUAAGGAUACGUUCGUUGGGUAGGGGAGCGUUCUGUAAGCCUGCGAAGGUGGCCUGUGAGGGUUGCUGGAGGUAUCAGAAGUGCGAAUGCUGACAUAAGUAACGAUAAAGCGGGUGAAAAGCCCGCUCGCCGGAAGACCAAGGGUUCCUGUCCAACGUUAAUCGGGGCAGGGUGAGUCGACCCCUAAGGCGAGGCCGAAAGGCGUAGUCGAUGGGAAACGGGUUAAUAUUCCCGUACUUGGUGUUACUGCGAAGGGGGGACGGAGAAGGCUAUGUUGGCCGGGCGACGGUUGUCCCGGUUUAAGCGUGUAGGUGUGUGUUCCAGGUAAAUCCGGUUCACUUUAACACUGAGGCGUGACGACGAGGCACUACGGUGCUGAAGCAACAAAUGCCCUGCUUCCAGGAAAAGCCUCUAAGCAUCAGGUAACAUCAAAUCGUACCCCAAACCGACACAGGUGGUCAGGUAGAGAAUACCAAGGCGCUUGAGAGAACUCGGGUGAAGGAACUAGGCAAAAUGGUGCCGUAACUUCGGGAGAAGGCACGCUGACAUGUAGGUGAAGUGAUUUACUCAUGGAGCUGAAGUCAGUCGAAGAUACCAGCUGGCUGCAACUGUUUAUUAAAAACACAGCACUGUGCAAACACGAAAGUGGACGUAUACGGUGUGACGCCUGCCCGGUGCCGGAAGGUUAAUUGAUGGGGUCAGCGCAAGCGAAGCUCCUGAUCGAAGCCCCGGUAAACGGCGGCCGUAACUAUAACGGUCCUAAGGUAGCGAAAUUCCUUGUCGGGUAAGUUCCGACCUGCACGAAUGGCGUAAUGAUGGCCAGGCUGUCUCCACCCGAGACUCAGUGAAAUUGAACUCGCUGUGAAGAUGCAGUGUACCCGCGGCAAGACGGAAAGACCCCGUGAACCUUUACUAUAGCUUGACACUGAACAUUGAGCCUUGAUGUGUAGGAUAGGUGGGAGGCUUUGAAGUGUGGACGCCAGUCUGC
rnacentral:rRNA from 1 species